GCCUGCGUGGUGUAGUGGUUUGAGUGCUGGACUAUGAUUCUGGAGAGCAGGGUUUGAGUUCCUGCUUGGCCA